rnacentral:tRNA from 1 species
GGGGUUAUGGCUCAGUGGUAGAGUGCUCACCCAGCACGUGAGGUACUAGGUUCGAUCCUCAGCACCA